CAAACACUAGCUGUCCAAACACUAUGUUGCACAGAGUUAUAAAUGGAGCGAUACAUUGGGCAAGACUGUGGUACAGAGGCUCAGAUAAAAGCACAAUGAGGCUCAGAUAGGAGAACAUUCAGUUCAUUUUUUAUUUCACACUACACCAACAGGGCAAUAUAAUAAAGCUGUUGACUGUGGUAAAUGAAUAAUAUCUUAAAUAACAUCUGCAGUUUUACGAAUAAAAAUGGAACAUGUAAUUCAGUACAUAAAGGAAAUUUAUAUUUAGCCAUUUAGAGGACACUUUUUAUCCAAAGUGACUUACAAAUGCAAUUUAUCAUAAGCCCAAAAUAUUUGCAGUCCUAUAAAAAUGAAAAUUCUGGACAAAAUAUAUUACAAAUAUGUGCAAAAUACUUUGGAAACAGCACAACUUUAGGAUUUUUUUUUUUUUUUUUUUCAAAUUGAAAAUAUAUUUUAUUUAAACUUUCAAAUGUCAACAUGUAUAUCUAAAUGUACUUCAAUUGGCAAUAAAAUACAUUUCCAAAAUCUUUAAAAAAACAAACAAAAAAAAAUAUGAAAAAUAUUUUUGCAGAAAGUGUUACACAACUCCAAAAUCUAUAAGCUAGAGUACACAAGUUAGGAAAUAAAAUUAAAACAAUAUUGAAUAUGUUAAAUGCUAUUGAAACAAGUGUGUAAAAUAUAAACAAUAUUAAAACAGAGGCUUUUUUGGACUGCUUUUGCUGAUACAUUUCAAACCAUGAAUUUCACUUUCCAGAAUGUUUUCAUUCACUGUUCCUUGCUGGUGGAAUGAUCUUCCCAACCCUAAUCGUAAUGCCGAAUUCCUGACAAUAUUCAAGAAACAGCUGAAAAUCUCUGCUGAGAAAAAAACAAAACAAAAAAAACUUCACUAUUCCUUAAUCUCUCCCUGUUCUAGCUUGUACUAUUCUCUAAACGGUGUCUGAAACUUUGUUUCACCUGUACUUUUUAGAUUACCUUACUAUAAUACUGGACAGCUUUAUAUACCAAGACUAAGCAGCCUUACACCACAAGCAGUUUAUCAGCAAAAAGAAAAAAAAGCCUCAGUUUCUUCUUUUCUUCAUAUUUCUUCUUCUACUUCUUCACGCAUAAGGAAUGGUUUUUCCCAAAAGUCCAGUUGUCAAGCUAGUAUUGCUAUUAUUUGUACUUUCAGAACAAUAUGUUUAACAUCAGGGUAAACAUGCAAUUAUCUGUGCACACUCUGUGUUAUCUGGUUCAUAAUAACAGGAUUUGCUUCCGGCUGUGUAUAAUUAUAUUUGCAAAGGUGUUCAAUUAAACGAUAAGGUUUAGUGAUUCCAUGCAGGAAUUCCAGGAGCCUCCUAUGACAUGCUCUAUUCCCAGAUUUAGGCUGUUUGAGUCCUCUGGGUCUUUAAAUACAACACUGAGCUCUUCGAUCAGAAUCAAAACCACAACACUGACCAGAGAUCAGCAGGAUGAGGGAAAUAUCUACAUAGCUCCAGAAAAAGACAUUGAAGGAUGUUCUUGAUUACAGAGGAUUGCUGAACUUCCUCCCUAACCCCUGAAAACCAACACCUGGUGUUGCUGCAGCUGUGAUGUAUGAUAUUAACACACACACUCACAUACUUACAUAGUGUGGACCAAAACACCUAGAUUUCCAGGAAUGAGGAAAUUAUACUCCCUGUGCCGUGAUGUAUACCUGCCAAUGCAAACUGUAUCAGUGGAGAGUUUCUCAAUGAGAACCCACAGUGGGAGUAAGAGGAUCCCUCUGUGCUAAUAACGGAAAUUGCAUGGAUAAUUUGGAAUAGGCUAGAACUACGAAUGCAACAUGGAUUAUGUGCUAGAAAGUAAUACUAUAUUUAGGAACAAAGUGAAAAGAUUUAGCAGUUGGUGGUUCAGGGAGUUGGGAGAGAGUAAUUGAAUCAGAAGAGGUGGGGAAAUGGAAAGAACAAGACUUUAAAAUGCCAUAAAACGGUCUUGCCAAAGUUGCCAUUUUUUGCCUCACUGUUCACUUAGGAAUAAAACAAUGCACAGUUGUUUAGUUCUGCUUUAGACAAAUACAUAAACAUUGUCUCAAUGAAACACAUUGUAUGGUGUGGUGUUUCUAAUAGAAGACCCCACUGAGCUCCAUCAAGAGGGAAAUGCUCAAACACAGAGAGAUUUUUUUUACUCAAUAUACAGUUUUUCUCGAUUGCUUAAACACUAUAACCAGGCUUUUGAACUAAAAUUUCAAAAUCAUAACGGCAUUUAUCAAAAAGCACACCCAUUUCCCUAAACUAUAAACACUAUUCUCCUUUUUGACACAUGAAUCAGAUUUGUUGAACUGUCACUUCAAAACUCUACACACAAAUUCUUUCAUUUCUCAUUGCCUACACCAUGUUGUCAUUUAGAAAGCACUAGCAUUCAAUAUUGUUCACUCAGGUCAGCAUAGCUUGAGCUCAAUUAGCACACAGUUACCCAUGUGGAAACACUAAGAGUCAAAAUUUAUCACAAACCAAUCAGAACCUUCAAUAGAGAGAUAAAAGAGCCCGAGUCAGUUCAUUCAGUUUUGGAACAAUGGAUCCAGAGAGACAUGACUGAAAAGGUCGAGGACACCAGAGAGGAGGAGGAAGAGGAUGAGCAAGAGUGGUAAAGAGUGGAGGAAGAGGUGAGGGAAGAGGAUGAGGAUGAGGUGCAAGGAGACAAGGAGUCUCAGAUGAAAUUCGUGCCACUAGUUGACCAUGUCCUUGUCCAUGGUAUGACUAUGAGGGAGGCUGGGCAGUGAGUUCAGCCAAACUUAAGUUGCUUCACCAUCGCCUCGAUCAUGAGAACCUUCAGGGAGGAAAACAGGACACAGAGACAAUGGAAUGGAAGAAGCCUGACUAUACAUUUCAGUUGAUGCGUGCCAGGGGUGGAUCAGGCAUGCAAGAGGAUUUCCCCCCCGCUGCCUGGAUAGGGCCAGUACAGCCUGUGAUGUUGACGAGAUUCUCUGGCCUGUCCCAGACCAAAGAUGUGAUGCUGGGGCAGGAUAUUUUUUGUUGUUUGGUGUAUUGUACUGUACAGUACAUUAAGGAAUAAAAAAUGUGCAAAUGUAUACACAUGUUCAUCAUGUGAAAAGUUCUUUGAGGGGGAGAACCACAAGUGACACAACUUAUUAUUGGUUUUUGUUUUUUGUAGUAUUGUUUUGAAUUUAUCUCACCAGUGUGUAAGACUAUGUUGUAGUGUGUGUGUUUUUGAGGGCUUGUGUGUGAUGUCUGAGGGCAAAGUUUGGUUUUUCAGCAAGAGUGAAUGGUUUUGAGUGUAGAGCUUCAUUUUGACCUGAAAAUAGGAUGUUUGGGGAAUUGGGUGAGACGUUAUGGAUUUGUGUUUACUGUUUUGAGAAUAUGAGGCAUAGUUUCAAGAAACGUGUUUAAGCAAUCGAGAAAAACUGUAA